UACGUAGGGUGCGAGCGUUAAUCGGAAUUACUGGGCGUAAAGCGUGCGCAGGCGGUUUUGUAAGCCAGAUGUGAAAUCCCCGGGCUUAACCUGGGAAUGGCAUUUGGGACUGCAAGGCUGGAGUGUGGCAGAGGAGACUGGAAUUCCUGGUGUAGCAGUGAAAUGCGUAGAUAUCAGGAGGAAUACCGAUGGCGAAGGCAGGUCUCUGGGCUGACACUGACGCUCAUGCACGAAAGCGUGGGGAGCA
rnacentral:rRNA from 1 species